rnacentral:tRNA from 1 species
GCCCAGCUAGCUCAGUUGGUAGAGCAUGAGACUCUUAAUCUCAGGGUCAUAGGUUCGAUCCCCACGAUGGGUU